rnacentral:rRNA from 1 species
CUAAUACAUGCCGUAGAACGCACAGGAUGCACCGUAGUUACUACACCGUAUUCUGUGAGUUGCGAACGGGUGAGUACGCGUAGGUAACCUGCCUGGUAGCGGGGGAUAACUAUUGUAAACGAUAGCUAAUACCGCAUAAGAACAUUUACUGCAUGGUAGAUGUUUAAAAGGUGCAAAAGCAUCACUACCAGAUGGACCUGUGUUGUAUUAGCUAGUUGGUGAGGUAACGGCUGCACCAAGGCAACGAUACAUAGCCGACCUGAGAGGGUGAUCGGCCACAAUGGGACUGAGACACGGCCCAGACUCCUAGGGGAGGCAGCAGUAGGGAAUCUUCGGCAAUGGGGGGAAGCCCUGAACCGAGCAACGCCAGCGUGAGUGAAGAAGGUUUUCGGAUACGUAAAGCUCUGUUGUUAAGGAAGAACGUGUGUGAGAGUGGAAAGUUGCACACA